AAAAAACCGUAAAAAUUCGCUAUCGAACGAUACUCAAAUUUUGUCUAUAUUCUUCAUAAAAUUUUAAGUAUUUAGAAAAGAUCUCUAAAGAAUAUGCCAUUAUAUAGAAAAAAGUAUGCUCCUUCGUUUGGAAUGUUCAGAUGUUCGAAAAUCGGGUUAGAAAUAUCACUUUUUUUCAAUUUAUAAUUGAAAAACUGUAAAAAUUCGCUGUCGAACGAUACUAAAAUUUUGUCUAUAUUCUUCAUAAAAUUUUAACUAUUUGAAAAAGAUUUCUAACGAAUAUGCCAUUAUAUAGAAAAAAGUAUGCUCUUUCGUUUGGAAUAGUCAGAUGUUCGAAAAUCAGCUUAGAAAUAUUUAGAAAUAUCACUUUUUUUCAAUUUAUAAUUGAAAAAACCGUAAAAAUUCGCUAUCGAACGAUACUCAAAUUUUGUCUAUAUUCUUCAUAAAAUUUUAACUUUUUAGAAAAGAUCUCUAAAGAAUAAGCCAUUAUAUUGAAAAAAGUAUGCUCUUUCGUUUGGAAUAGAGAGAUGUUCGAAAAUCAGCUUAGAAAUAUCACUUUUUUCCAAAUUAAAAUUGAAAAAACCAUGAAAAUUCGCUAUCGAACGAUACUCAAAUUUUGUCUAUAUUCUUCAUAAAAUUUUAACUAUUUAGAAAAGAUCUCUAAAGAAUAUUAUGCCAUUAUAUAGAAAAAAGUAUGCUCUUUUGUUUGGAAUGGAGAGAUGUUCGAAAAU
rnacentral:lncRNA from 1 species